AUUGAACGCUAGCGGGAUGCUUUACACAUGCAAGUCGAACGGCAGCGCGGACUUCGGUCUGGCGGCGAGUGGCGAACGGGUGAGUAAUGUAUCGGAACGUGCCCAGUAGCGGGGGAUAACUACGCGAAAGCGUAGCUAAUACCGCAUACGCCCUGCGGGGGAAAGCAGGGGAUCGUAAGACCUUUCACUAUUGUAGCGGGCGAUAUCGGAUUAGCUAGGUGGUGAGGUAACGGCUCACCAAGGCGACGAUCCGUAGCUGGUUUGAAAGGACGACCCGCCACACUGGGACUGAGGCACGGCCCAGACUCCUGCGGGAGGCAGCGGUGGGGAAUUUUGGACAAUGGGGGCAAGCCUGAUCCAGCCAUCCCGGGUGUGCGAUGAAGGCCUUCGGGUUGUAAAGCACUUUUGGCAGGAAAGAAACGUAGCGGGCUAAUACCCCGUGGAACUGACGGUACCUGCAGAAUAAGCACCGGCUAACUACGUG
rnacentral:rRNA from 1 species